CUGCUCUAAGUGAACCAUUCCAGGUAUUAUUCUUCAGUUGUGAAUAAAACGAACAAAACACCUGCCCUCAUGGACUCUAUUCCCACAGGAUAGGAAGACAGUACUUUUAGGCUGAAAAUGGUCUCUCUGGAGCCAUGACUUGCAAGUUCAAUGCUCAGCAGACAUUGACAGAACUUUUGUGUGUAACAUAUUGCCACCUGAUUCUGAAAAGCGCCCGUCAUUUCCACGACACCAGUGGAGGCCCUGGGUGGUGCGGCCAGCCAGCGAGGCCCUGCUGAGCACCCUGUGAUGAAGACAACACCUGCUCAGAGGGAUUCCUUUUCGUGGGUCGCCAUUACCACUAGAAGGAUGGUUCAUGUCUGCUGCUGACUGGUCAAAGACAUAGUGUCAGUUUUUUAAUAACAAGCUGGGAGCACUUGCAAGUCAAAGGAAGGGAGGGAGAAAGCGAAGCAUGCCCAGUGUUAUUUCAAUAGGCAAGCUCCAAAGUCUUCUAAGGUUGACACUGCCUAAUUAAUGACGGCACCAAAUGGAGCCAAAAGCGUGAAGUCUGCAAAUGGCUAAUAAUGAGGGCUAGAUAGAUAUACCCCACUUUCCAUGCAUGUUCAUAGGGCUGGCUGCAGAAUGUAAUUGAAGUAAAUGGGGUUUUCUGCUUGUUUCUUAUUCUUUAAUGCUGAGAGGGUGUUUCUAUUCUCUUCUCUUACCUCAAAGAACCUCAAUUAAUUAUAGCAAGUUUUAUACCUGAUGGCAUCACUGCUAGAAUCCUUGACAUAGAAACCCUUGAAGGACAUUUUCAGGAGAGGGAGACACCCAGUCCUGUGCAUAUGUUCAGCCUACAUUUAUCUCUUUGCAGUUAUAGCUGAUCGACCCUAACUCUCUCUGGUAUUGGGGAGGUGGGUUGUUGUUUCCAGCUCCUCAUGCUUGUGAAAACCAAGGAGUUCCAUUCUUUCUUUUAAAUGCUUAAGUUCAAGUCAUUUUUAACAUGCCAUGACCCUUUAAUGAAAACAGCCAAUAAGAUAGGAUCUGCAAAAGCGAGACAUUUUAGGAACAAGGGAUUUUUUUUUCCCCCAUGGUCUUUGUUUUCCCAGUCUUGAAUUAAUCACAGCUGUCUUUCACCAGCAAAGGUUAUUUUUAUCUAGCAUGCUUUAAAUUAAAAAACAACAACAACAACAAAGGGAGCAGUCUGAUGUUCUUCAAGCUCCCAUAACCUUCCACAGAAUAGAGGGAAGCAUUAGCUCUGGGCAGCUAAGAAUACAGCUUUUAAUUAUAUCUUCCCUGUGUUUACAUGAACUUUAGUUUGCAUUUCAGAAGCCUUAUGGAAGGAUUCCUGUGGCUGACCCAGGAGUAGUG